GCGCCUCCCACCCGGGACCCACUUCGGAGUUCGCCCCCUUCGGGACUCGCCUCCGGGAGACCCCCGAGGGGGAGAGGGCGCUUCCUCCGCGUCCAUCGCCCUUGCCGCCCCUGGGCCUGGAUUGCCGACAGGCCGCGAGCGUGGCCUUGGGCCCAGGGUGUCCCGGACUCAGCACUGACGUUCCCGGAAAGAGCCCACGUUGAGUAGGAGCUGAGACCUGCAGGACACAGGAACUCCUCCCAGGGUCCUGGAUCCAGCUGCUGCUCAC
rnacentral:lncRNA from 1 species